CAGAGCAAAACAGUCGUGGAA
rnacentral:miRNA from 1 species